ensembl:lncRNA
GGCGUUUGCGUGGAAAACACGUACCUGCUGUGAGGUGAAGUGUAAUUGUAUCAAUAUGUUCCUUCUGAACCUGUGCGUUGAAUAUGGUCCAUGUGACCUGUGAACAGUUGGUCUGUGCCUAGCAGCCUCUAUGAUAUGCCUAGUUCUCCCUAUUGUCUGUAGCACGUUGAGUGCGGCCAUCUGUGUGUUUAUGAAUGUAUGUUUUUUUAUUGUAUAGACCUGUUUCGGGGUUGAUCUGAAAGAAUCCCCAGGUAAAUAAAUAAGAAUAUAUUUUUAUAUACAAGCCACCAUCUCCUGCACCCUUCUUCCCAACACCACCCAGUCCAGUCGCAACCUCCCAAAACAACGUGGGGUGACCGCCCGGUCCCUCACAGGAGCCCAUUAUGAACUCUGGCCUGGCUGCCGCUUUGCUACUCUGUAAGAAUAAAGGUGAGCUGAGUGGCUGCUGAGCCACAGGUGUGUGUGUGAAUGGGUAGAUGUGUGUGUGGAUGGGUAGAUGUGUGCUGAGCCACAGGUGUGUGUGUGAAUGGGUAGAUGUGUGUGUGGAUGGGUAGAUGUGUGCUGAGCCACGUGUGUGUGUGUGAAUGGGUAGAUGUGUGUGUGGAUGGGUAGAUGUGUGCUGAGCCACAGGUGUGUGUGUGUGAAUGGGUAGAUGUGUGUGUGGAUGGGUAGAUGUGUGCUGAGCCACGUGUCUGUGUGGAUGGGUAGAUGUGUGCUGAGCCACAGGUGUGUGUGUGCGGCACACUAGACAUGCACCAACACAAGUUAUUUACAUAAGGAAUUACAAUACAGCACAAUACAGAGCUGUCUGGCUGCUAGCUCUCCCUAAACACAAGCUUCUCUGAUCUAUAUGGCUUAUACUUAUGUGUGUUUGAGUCAUGAAAUCUUGUGAGAAUGCCUUUUGUUAUGUCUGUAGGUGAUGUGUUUGUGUUGUGUGUGUGUGUGUGAUUGUGUGAGUGAUGUGAUUGUGUUGUGUGUGUGUGACUGACGGGUUUGUGUUGUGUCUGUAUGUGAUGUGUUUGUGUUGUGUCUGUGAGUGAUGUCAUAUCUUACAAUUCCUUAUGUAAAUAACUUGUGUUGGUGACGUGAAAGUG